GUCCAGAACUCCAGCGCUGGUCUUUGAAUGCAUCAAUAACACAGACUUCAAGGAGUUGUACCAGAAGUUGACAGAUUAUGAUAUCCGUUUCUAUAUGUACGAACUACUGAAGGCUCUGGACUACUGUCACAGUAUGGGAAUCAUGCACCGUGACGUCAAACCCCACAAUGUGAUGAUCGACCACCAGUUGAGAAAGAUACAUCCCUAGUUGGGUGGGUAGAAGGGGGUAUCAUGCACCCCACUGCAUCAACGCUAGCUGAAGCUGGACUCCGACGUGCG